CAAUAGCGUAUAUUAAAGUUGUUGCGGUUAAAAAGCUCGUAGUCGGAUUUCGGGUCGGGCCGAGCGGUCUGCCGAUGGGUAUGCACUGUUUGGCGCGGCCUUCUUUCCGGAGACCGCGGCUACUCUUAACUGAGCGGGCGUGGGAGACGGAUCGUUUACUUUGAAAAAAUUAGAGUGUUUAAAGCAGGCUUUUGCUAUGAAUACAUUAGCAUGGAAUAAUAAUCUAGGACUUCGGUGCUAUUUUGUUUGGUUUUCUUGGAACUGAAGUAAUGAUUGAUAGGGAUAGUUGGGGGUGGCUAGUAUUGAGCGGCCAGAGGUGAAAUUACUUGGAUUCGCUCAAGACUAACUUAUGCGAAAGCAUUCACCAAGGAUGUCUUCUUUAAUUCAAGAACGAAAGUUGGGGGAGUCGAAGACGAUUAGAUACCGU
rnacentral:rRNA from 1 species